rnacentral:tRNA from 1 species
AGGGUUGUGGCUCAAUGGUAGAGUGCUCGCCUAGCAUGUGCGAGGCCCUGGGUUCAAUCCUCAGCACCACAU